rnacentral:rRNA from 1 species
AGUGAACGCUGGCGGUAGGCCUAACACAUGCAAGUCGAACGGCAGCACAGUAAGAGCUUGCUCUUACGGGUGGCGAGUGGCGGACGGGUGAGGAAUACAUCGGAAUCUACUUUUUCGUGGGGGAUAACGUAGGGAAACUUACGCUAAUACCGCAUACGACCUACGGGUGAAAGCAGGGGAUCUUCUGACCUUGCGCGAUUGAAUGAGCCGAUGUCGGAUUAGCUAGUUGGCGGGGUAAAGGCCCACCAAGGCCACGCUCCGUAGCUGGUCUGAGAGGAUGAUCAGCCACACUGGAACUGAGACACGGUCCAGACUCCUACGGGAGGCAGCAGUGGGGAAUAUUGGACGAUGGGCGCAAGCCUGAUCCAGCCAUACCGCGUGGGUGAAGAAGGCCUUCGGGUUGUAAAGCCCUUUUGUUGGGAAAGAAAAGCAGCAGGUUAAUACCCCGCUGUUCUGACGGUACCCAAAGAAUAAGCACCGGCUAACUUCGUG